rnacentral:rRNA from 1 species
CCUACGGGCGGCAGCAGUGAGGAAUAUUGGUCAAUGGACGAGAGUCUGAACCAGCCAAGUAGCGUGAAGGAUGACUGCCCUAUGGGUUGUAAACUUCUUUUAUCUGGGAAUAAAAUGUUCCACGUGUGGGAUUUUGUAUGUACCAUAUGAAUAAGGAUCGGCUAACUCCGUGCCAGCAGCCGCGGUAAUACGGAGGAUCCGAGCGUUAUCCGGAUUUAUUGGGUUUAAAGGGAGCGUAGGUGGAUUGUUAAGUCAGUUGUGAAAGUUUGCGGCUCAACCGUAAAAGUGCAGUUGAAACUGGCAGUCUUGAGUACAGUAGAGGUGGGCGGAAUUCGUGGUGUAGCGGUGAAAUGCUUAGAUAUCACGAAGAACUCCGAUUGCGAAGGCAGUUCACUGGACUGCAACUGACACUGAGGCUCGAAAGUGUGGGUAUCAAACAGGAUUAGAUACCCGAGUAGUC